rnacentral:misc_RNA from 1 species
CCCUUGUGGAGAAGGACGCCGAAGGUGGGGCUGAUGACUGGGGUGAAGUCGUAACAAGGUAGCCGUACCGGAAGGUGCGGCUGGAUCACCUCCUAACAGGGAGACAAUAAAUUGAUUGUGAUGUCUAAGUUAUUUAUUCUUAGGCUGCAAUCCUGUCACCUUAAGGUCGAUCGGUACCUCAGAUUUUUGAAUUAGUUUUAUAAUUAAUUCUUUGGUUUCAGUUCCUAAACUUGUCUAGGUCACACCCAACAAAGGUUUCUCCUGGGCCAUUAGCUCAGGUGGUUAGAGCGCACCCCUGAUAAGGGUGAGGUCCCUGGUUCAAGUCCAGGAUGGCCCAUUCGUUGUUGGGGGUAUAGCUCAGUUGGUAGAGCGCCUGCUUUGCAAGCAGGAUGUCAGCGGUUCGAGUCCGCUUACCUCCACUGAAAACUAUCCUGAUAACUAAAUUUUGGAGAAAAUUUGUAGAAGUGGCUUAGCAUUGUCUGUCUGAAAGAACCUAGCUUCUUGUCAUCUUUUUAUAGUUGAUAACAUGCUGGGCUCGCAUGGAUUAAUUCCAUGAGAUUUCAGUAGAAUCUUGAAAACUGCAUAGAUUAGAAAGAAUAAAGCAUCUCAUGGAUGCAUAAUUCUGGUUUUUAUAAUUUAGCCUUAAAACUAAAUUACUGAAUUCUAGAAUUCAUGUUUAAUUCUUGAGUAAAAGCCAAGCACAAUCGAUUUUGAUUGUAUUUAAGGUCAAGCUACAAAGGGCUCAU